rnacentral:lncRNA from 1 species
GAACGGAGACCCUCCAAAAAUGAGGAACGGAGCAUCGAACAUUUCAAUAAUUUCUGAUUCAAUUUCGGAGAAGGGACAGAAGACUUGGAAGAGUACAGACUAUCUCAUCUUUGACACGUACGCCUGGUGGAUCAAGCAUCCCACUGUGAGACUGAUGUAAGGACUAUAUUAUGCUAUAUAUAUAUGUAUGUGUACUCAAGAAUAAUUAAUUCUUGAAGUCUCCAUUUUUUAGAUAAGAGUAAUCUCGAUCAUAACAGAGAGCAAGCUAACUCUUUACCUGUGUAAUCGAUGACAAAGACGAGGACCAUUUGACGAGAGGGCCAAGGAGUAUGAUGUAAUCGAAGCACAUGUAGCGUAUGAAAUAUCGUUAAGGACAU